rnacentral:sRNA from 1 species
GAUAACAAAGGAAGAAAAGGUGUAGAUCUGGUAUUUAACACAGCUUAAAUACCAGAUCUACACCUUUUCUUCCUUUGUUAUC